AAGUCGUAACAAGGUUUCCGUAGGUGAACCUGCGGAAGGAUCAUUAACACGUACGAAAGUACACACCAACACUGAGCACCUUUUUGGUACAACCUCUCCCUUUCGAUGUGGGCUGUUAGUAUGAAUGCUGCUAUAGGACAUUCAUCUAGCAGGCUCGUGUCUUUACACACGAACCCACUCUGAAGGUUACCUUUCCUUAGCACAUUUUACCAUUAUCACCUAUAAUUACAUUUGUCUAAUGUAGCGGCACAGAGAAAUCCGUGCAGCUUGAUUAUCUAAACUAAGCACAACUCUUAGCAAUGGAUAUCUAGGUUCUC
rnacentral:misc_RNA from 1 species